GUCGUGGAAAGUUGGGUAGACAUCGCAAAGAAAUAAUUCCUAUUGGUAGCGUGCCUCAGAUCGUCCACUACGCAGCGGCAUGUAUGCUGGGAGUAACAUCGUCGACGCAGCACCGGCAACUUAGAGAGCGUCGUGCCAUUGAAAAGUGGUGAGGCCGUGACUCACAGCAGUGUCCACAUGAUGGCAGGGAACCUGUGGCCCUGGCUACAGCAGCACAGCGUGUAAUCUGGAUGUCACGUCAGGUGAACGAUCUUAUCUGGCCUGAAGUCCUAUGGCGGCAAUGCACGACCGCAUUGGGGAGGCUGAGGUUCAGGGCAAGAGCCUUUAUGGAAAGGGCAGUAACAGGCACAAGGAGGACCCAGUGAAGGAGGGAUUGGAUCCAGUUCAUCUGAAUGCUGUAAUUGGUUACAUCCUCCAGCAAGUUCACGAAGACAAAUGUGCAGCUCAAAAGCAGCCUGUCCUCCAUGCUAAGCAGGGAGAUUAAGUAGCCUGGAAAGCAGGUGGUCCUGUAAAUA